GUCUAUGGCCAUACCACCCUCAAUGCGCCCGAUCUCGUCUGAUCUUGGAAGCUAAGCAGGAUCGGGCCUGGUUAGUACUUGGAUGGGAAAAGCUUAAAACUGUGGGUAACAGGAAGCUACACUCA
ensembl:rRNA 5S_rRNA 5S ribosomal RNA